GGCAGUGGUAGGGAACCGAAAGGGGACCGACCUUCGGGAGCUGUCACAGGUGNUGCAUGGCNAGUCGUCAGCUCGUGUCGUGAGAUGUUCGGUUAAGUCCGGUAACGAGCGCAACCCUCGCCGUCAGUUACACUGUGUCUGGCGGGACUGCCCGUUGAACGCGGGAGGAAGGUGGGGAUGACGUCAAGUCAGCAUGGCCUUUAUGUCCAGGGCUACACACACGGUACAAUGGCCAGUACAAUGGGUCGCCAACCCGCGAGGGGGAGCCAAUCCAGAGAAAGCUGGUCUCAGUUCGGAUUGUAGGCUGCAACCCGCCUACAUGAAGCCGGAGUUGCUAGUAACCGCAGGUCAGCCAUACUGCGGUGAAUACGUUCCCGGGCCUUGUACACACCGCCCGUCACGUCAUGGGAGCUGGUCAUGCCUGAAGUCGGUGGGCUAACCGCAAGGAGGCAGCCGCCGAAGGCAGGGCUGGUGACUGGGACG
rnacentral:rRNA from 1 species